rnacentral:lncRNA from 1 species
AAAUAAAAGGCUCACGAGUGAGAUUUAUUACUGUGUUAUCUUUUUCGUUUUUUGCCUGUCCUUUGCCUAGUUCCUAGGGCUUUAUGCGUAAGAAUUGCUUGUUGAAAGGUAAAAAAACCUACAUGAUAAUUAUCAAAGUCUAUCAAAGAUGGAUUGAGAUGAUGAUUUUUUGGUCAACUUAAAAUAGGAGAUUCUUUUUGUUUCUCACCAAAAAAAAAGAAAAAAGCAAAAGAUAAGGAGCCUUUUUUAAUUUUGUUAAUUUUUCAUGUUUUUUGUUUGACUUGGUUGCAGGGUGUUGAUAAGUUCUCUGGAUAGAUGAUACUGAGUUAAACAGAAGGAAAAAGGAUUACAGUCCACUUCAGUGCGGUGGAAGCUGGUGUUUAUAAAGUCUGUAUAUAUUUGUGGUAGGAUAGGUAUAAGAAAGUUUUGUGAAGUAGGACUGUUUCUCUUGGCCCCGCUUGGUGUUUUGCCAUGUAAAUUGAAUAUGGAUGUGAAAUUUAUCCCAAUGAGCCCAGCCAGAUGUUGCUCACACUAACAUACAUCGGAAUUUAUUUUAGUUGUUUGAUCUGUACUACCUUUGAUAUGGUGAUAAGAUAUGUUUGUGGCGGUUGCGAUAAAAUUAAAUUCUAUAUAACUGAAUGUUCAUUUUAUUAAUCUCUGUAAUCGACUCUAAUACUAACUUUAUGGGUGAGGUAUGUUAUAAAACGUUACCUUAUGGAUUUAGUUUUCAACUCAUCCAAGGGUACGUGUGAGGUCUUCCCCAUCGGAAAUAUUUAGAGUUGGAUUUGGAAAAUCAAGAUCUUCUUGUGAUGGUAAUCAAGCUAGUUUCAAGGCCGACAUCAAUGGCUUCAUCUUUUUAUAUAAGUUGUAUUGCCCUAUAUAGUUUAAUAUAUGGCUCUUGGCUCAAUACAAUGGAUGUAAUCAAUAUGUUGGCACAUUCAUGUUGUUUGAUCUGAGCAUUAUUGCUAUGCUCUUUCAUGGAAAUAUACUCUAGCUUUAAGUUGAUGGAAAUUGUAUGGAAAACCUGGUUAUAUCUUUAUAGCUAGUUAUGUUUCAUCUGAAGCUCUCGUAAGCUAACUACUAACUAAUUUUGAGUAGAUGUGCCAACUACAACCUGUCACGUACCCAGAUUAUAUAGAUUGUCUGCUAUCUAGAAUAGUACAAUAGUUAUUUGUAAAUGAAGAUUGACCUAUUAAAAGAGUCAACAGGAAAUAGAAGCAAA